AGCGAACGCUGGCGGCAGGCUUAACACAUGCAAGUCGAACGCCCCGCAAGGGGAGUGGCAGACGGGUGAGUAACACGUGGGAACGUACCCUUUGGUUCGGAAUAACUUGGGGAAACUCAAGCUAAUACCGGAUAAGCCCUUAUGGGGAAAGGUUUACUGCCGAAGGAUCGGCCCGCGUCUGAUUAGCUAGUUGGUGAGGUAACGACUCACCAAGGCGACGAUCAGUAGCUGGUCUGAGAGGAUGAUCAGCCACACUGGGACUGAGACACGGCCCAGACUCCUACGGGGGGCAGCAGUGGGGAAUAUUGGACAAUGGGGGCAACCCUGAUCCAGCCAUGCCGCGUGAGUGAUGAAGGCCUUAGGGUUGUAAAGCUCUUUUACCCGGGACGAUAAUGACUGUACCGGGAGAAUAAGCCCCGGCUAACUUCGUGCCAGCCGCCGCCGUAA
rnacentral:rRNA from 1 species